ensembl:snoRNA
AUCCUUUCGUAGUUCAUAAGCAUGAUGAUUGGGUGUUCACAUGCUCACAUGUGACAUGUGCCACCCUCGAAUCUUGGUACAAUGUUGGGACAUUACCCAUCUGACA